GACGAACGCUGGCGGCGUGCUUAACACAUGCAAGUCGAACGGAAAGGCCCUGCUUUUGUGGGGUGCUCGAGUGGCGAACGGGUGAGUAACACGUGAGUAACCUGCCCUUGACUUUGGGAUAACUUCAGGAAACUGGGGCUAAUACCGGAUAGGAGCUCCUGCUGCAUGGUGGGGGUUGGAAAGUUUCGGCGGUUGGGGAUGGACUCGCGGCUUAUCAGCUUGUUGGUGAGGUAACGGCCCACCAAGGCGACGAUGGGUAACCGGCCUGAGAGGGUGAACGGUCACAUUGGAACUGAGACACGGUCCAAACUCCUACGGGAGGCAGCAGUGGGGAAUAUUGCACAAUGGAGGGAAAUCUGAUGCAGCGACGCCGCGUGAGCGAUGAGGGAAUUCGUUUCGUAAAGCUCUGUUCUAUGGGAAGAAAAGGACUGUACCAGAGGAGAAAGCCCCGGCUAAAUACGUG
rnacentral:rRNA from 1 species